rnacentral:misc_RNA from 1 species
GUAGGUGAACCUGCGGAAGGAUCAUUACAGUAUUCUUUUUGCCAGCGCUUAAUUGCGCGGCGAAAAAACCUUACACACAGUGUUUUUUGUUAUUACAAGAACUUUUGCUUUGGUCUGGACUAGAAAUAGUUUGGGCCAGAGGUUUACUGAACUAAACUUCAAUAUUUAUAUUGAAUUGUUAUUUAUUUAAUUGUCAAUUUGUUGAUUAAAUUCAAAAAAUCUUCAAAACUUUCAACAACGGAUCUCUUGGUUCUC